GACGAACGCUGGUUGCGUGCUUAACACAUGCAAGUCGAACGGAAAGGCCCUGCUUUUGUGGGGUGCUCGAGUGGCGAACGGGUGAGUAACACGUGAGUAACCUGCCCUUGACUUUGGGAUAACUUCAGGAAACUGGGGCUAAUACCGGAUAGGAGCUCCUGCUGCAUGGUGGGGGUUGGAAAGUUUCGGCGGUUGGGGAUGGACUCGCGGCUUAUCAGCUUGUUGGUGGGGUAGUGGCUUACCAAGGCUUUGACGGGUAGCCGGCCUGAGAGGGUGACCGGCCACAUUGGGACUGAGAUACGGCCCAGACUCCUACGGGAGGCAGCAGUGGGGAAUAUUGCACAAUGGGCGGAAGCCUGAUGCAGCAACGCCGCGUGCGGGAUGACGGCCUUCGGGUUGUAAACCGCUUUCGCCUGUGACGAAGCGUGAGUGACGGUAAUGGGUAAAGAAGCACCGGCUAACUACGUGCCAGCAGCCGCGGUGAUACGUAGGGUGCGAGCGUUGUCCGGAUUUAUUGGGCGUAAAGGGCUCGUAGGUGGUUGAUCGCGUCGGAAGUGUAAUCUUGGGGCUUAACCCUGAGCGUGCUUUCGAUACGGGUUGACUUGAGGAAGGUAGGGGAGAAUGGAAUUCCUGGUGGAGCGGUGGAAUGCGCAGAUAUCAGGAGGAACACCAGUGGCGAAGGCGGUUCUCUGGGCCUUUCCUGACGCUGAGGAGCGAAAGCGUGGGGAGCGAACAGGCUUAGAUACCCUGGUAGUCCACGCUGUAAACGGUGGGUACUAGGUGUGGGGUCCAUUCCACGGGUUCCGUGCCGUAGCUAACGCUUUAAGUACCCCGCCUGGGGAGUACGGCCGCAAGGCUAAAACUCAAAGGAAUUGACGGGGCCCCGCACAAGCGGCGGAGCAUGCGGAUUAAUUCGAUGCAACGCGUAGAACCUUACCUGGGUUUGACAUGGAUCGGGAGUGCUCAGAGAUGGGUGUGCCUCUUUUGGGGUCGGUUCACAGGUGGUGCAUGGCUGUCGUCAGCUCGUGUCGUGAGAUGUUGGGUUAAGUCCCGCAACGAGCGCAACCCUUGUUCACUGUUGCCAGCACGUUAUGGUGGGGACUCAGUGGAGACCGCCGGGGUCAACUCGGAGGAAGGUGGGGAUGACGUCAAGUCAUCAUGCCCCUUAUGUCCAGGGCUUCACGCAUGCUACAAUGGCUGGUACAGAGAGUGGCGAGCCUGUGAGGGUGAGCGAAUCUCGGAAAGUCGGUCUCAGUUCGGAUUGGGGUCUGCAACUCGACCUCAUGAAGUCGGAGUCGCUAGUAAUCGCAGAUCAGCAACGCUGCGGUGAAUACGUUCCCGGGGCC
rnacentral:rRNA from 1 species